rnacentral:rRNA from 1 species
UGGGGAAUUUUGGACAAUGGGCGAAAGCCUGAUCCAGCAAUGCCGCGUGUGUGAAGAAGGCCUUCGGGUUGUAAAGCACUUUUGUCCGGAAAGAAAUCCUUGGCUCUAAUACAGUCGGGGGAUGACGGUACCGGAAGAAUAAGCACCGGCUAACUACGUGCCAGCAGCCGCGGUAAUACGUAGGGUGCAAGCGUUAAUCGGAAUUACUGGGCGUAAAGCGUGCGCAGGCGGUUUGCUAAGACCGAUGUGAAAUCCACGGGCUCAACCUGGGAACUGCAUUGGUGACUGGCAGGCUAGAGUAUGGCAGAGGGGGGUAGAAUUCCACGUGUAGCAGUGAAAUGCGUAGAGAUGUGGAGGAAUACCGAUGGCGAAGGCAGCCACCUGGGCCAAUACUGACGCUCAUGCACGAAAGCGUGGGGAGCAAACAGGAUUAGAUACCCCUGGUAGUCCACGCCCUAAACGAUGUCAACUAGUUGUUGGGGAUUCAUUUCCUUAGUAACGUAGCUAACGCGUGAAGUUGACCGCCUGGGGAGUACGGUCGCAAGAUUAAAACUUAAAUGAAUUGACGGGGUCAUGCUGUUCCU